GACGAACGCUGGCGGCGUGCCUAAUACAUGCAAGUAGAACGCUGAAGGAGGAGCUUGCUUCUCUGGAUGAGUUGCGAACGGGUGAGUAACGCGUAGGUAACCUGCCUGGUAGCGGGGGAUAACUAUUGGAAACGAUAGCUAAUACCGCAUAAGAGUAGAUGUUGCAUGACAUUUGCUUAAAAGGUGCAAUUGCAUCACUACCAGAUGGACCUGCGUUGUAUUAGCCAGUUGGUGAGGUAACGGCUCACCAAGGCGACGAUACAUAGCCGACCUGAGAGGGUGAUCGGCCACACUGGGACUGAGACACGGCCCAGACUCCUACGGGAGGCAGCAGUAGGGAAUCUUCGGCAAUGGACGGAAGUCUGACCGAGCAACGCCGCGUGAGUGAAGAAGGUUUUCGGAUCGUAAAGCUCUGUUGUAAGAGAAGAACGAGUGUGAGAGUGGAAAGUUCACACUGUGACG
rnacentral:rRNA from 1 species